UCAGCCUUCAAUUUUCUCCAAAGAUGGUCCUUCACCAAUGACCAAUCCUCAUAGCUCUUCUUGUGCAGUAAUAGCCCACUUAGUAUCAUGAUUGCAAGUGGUAACCCUCCACAUUUACAUACCAUCUGCUUUCCUAACUUCUCAAGGUUCGGGGUUGGUUUUGCUCUCUUUAGGAAUAAUUGCCAGCUCUCAUCUUCCCUUAGAAAGCGGAGUGGAUGGACAAAACAUCUGUCAUCUACUUUCUGAGCAAUUAUUUUAUUUCGCGUGGUUAUGAUGACUCUACUACCGUUCUGCUUGUCAGGAAAAGCUUUUUUGAUCUUAAUCCAAGCCUCUAUAUCCCAUAUGUCAUCAAUUACGACCAAGUAACCAUCACAAUCUACCAGUAACUUUCUCAGGUGCUGCAGCAAGUCAAUUUCAUCCAUCUUCAUAAAAUCCAGUUCAUGUCCCAGUACAUGUCUCCCGAAAGACUUUAUCAUCGUCUUCAGAACAUCUUUGAUGUUAUAUUCCUGGGAGACACAGACCCAAGCACGACUCUUAAAAUGGCUCACUUUGCUAGAGUGGUAUAAUUUACUAGCAAGUGUAGUCUUGCCCAAACCCCCCAUGCCAUGAAUGGAAAUCAGUUUAAGCGAGAGAUCCUCACUAACAAGUUCAUCCAACAAAGUCUUGAAAUCAUCCUCAAAACCAACCACAUCCACCUGGUUUUCAAAGGAGGUUGCUCUAAGCAAUGUUCUUUUCCUCCUUUCCACCAUCUGCGUGGCUAAGAUGUUGGUAAUACCAUAUUCAUCUCGCCUGCUCUUGAUCACAACAACCCUUCCCUUGAGCAACUCAAUCUCUUUGCCUAUAUCAUAUAAACUGGCUUCCUUCCUGCACAAGCAGACAGAGCUCACAGAGCUCCACAAACAAUCCAUCAAACCUUCUUUCCGGACUGCAUGUUCUUCUUCGAGGGCACUAAACCUCUCCAGGAUAAUUAAAGCAUCAUUAGCAACGUCUUUGACGUUAUUCAUCCAUUGCCAGAUCGGGGGAUCCAUUUCUUGUCUUGCUUCUGCACCUCUCACCGAAGAUUGUAGGUAACCCAACUCAUCUUUGAGCCACCUUACACCAUCUUCCACUCCUAUCCUUGUGUUGACUCUUUGGGUAAGAAAAACAUUAAGCUUUUCAAUUGCAAAGGAAACAGCUGCAUCAGCCAUUUUUCUCUAUCAACUAGAAACAGCCAAACAGGCAGAAAGUAUUUGAAUGUUCUUGCAAACAGAAAAAACCAAAUGUAGGACAAUACCAAUAUGCAUCAACUAAUCAAAUUUGGUGUUGCAACUUUGCGAAGAAUCUGAGCAUUAUAUACAACUCAAUUAGAUUCAAAUAUAAUCUAAAAAAAUUGUAUUCCUUAACUUCAUUUCAGAUCUUAAAAUAAAAAUGUUGAGUUGUUUUAGACUUUAGUUGCAGUUCUGGCCAACUGGGGGGCCAAGUUCUUGGUAAUGUGUCACUUGAUGAGGCUCACAAGUCACAAUCCACUUGAAAGGACACCACUUUUCAGACACUAAACCCACUUUUCACUGUUAUUGCUAACGUCUUUAAUCAUUGAAGUCUGGUAUGUAGGAGGAUCAGAGUUUCAUCUAUAACAGAGGGAAAGAAAUAUUAUGAUUACUAAUUUACUAUUGUGCAUUUGAACUAAAAUGACUGGCAAAUUAGUAUAUUUUAAGGUAGUUAAAUGAGUUGUAGAGCUCAACUUAACAUGAUGAACUCUAUUGAUUGGAUGAGGUCUGAAUUCGAGAUUAGUUGUUUAACUGUUAACUCUGCAGAAGCUGACAUGAUAUUAUGAUGUCAGACUUUUGCAAAGAAAUAUGUUUUUAACCCAAAUUCUUAAAAUUAUAUAUUAAUUUUAUGAAAUGUUGAGCACUAUUUUUGUUAAAUUGGAGGUAUGACAGAUCGUUAACAAUAUAUAUACUUGCCAGUAAAAAGCAGUGUUGUAAAAAAAGGAUGACAUGCACGAACAAUUGACCAUAUGAAUCAGAGAUCAACAGGUCAUAUAUUCACUCAAUUUUAGGAAUCACGGAAUAAUGAUUAAUUAGAACUAAUCAGAUUAUAACACGUUUACAGUCGCUUGUACAAAACAAAGGGUGAAGACCAGAAAACUCAAACACUACUUUAAAAACAAAGCACAAGCACAAAAAGGGGAACUUCUAGUUCUAUGAUUCCCCGUCUCAGCACAAGUCAUACUCCUCGAAGUUUUGCAUACUUUCCCUGUCUGAGUAUCCGAAUCAAUGUCCGAAAACGAAGAGUACGUGGCGAAGACCUUCUUACUUGAUCCACAGCAAGACUCUUGUCUUGCUCGCUUUGCAGACCGCCAUCCGAUCUUGCAAGGAAGCUUUAAACAGCACCAGAAGAUGGACAGAGGGCAACACACGCAGAACAGGCAUGCAUUGCACACGAACUCCGUGACUUUUUGGCCAAUCGUUGCAUGUUUUUUGCACUCAUGACAAGAAGAGAACGAAGAUGAAUUUGAAAGCUUAGAAUUCACCAUAGCUUGUGUUACGGGGAAAGAAUACUUCUACCUUAUCUCUCUUUUUUACUUUACCACCGUCUGUUAUGUAUAGCUUUUUAAGUAUUUGAUCACUUUCUUCAUAAGAUGGAAUGAUUCUUAUCACAUGGUCCUCAAGCACUUAACCCAAUUUGACCAAAAACAUCAACUUUUUUUAUACUAUAACACAGCAGUUUUUAAUAGCACUCCCAAACAUACCNAAAUCCCCGAUUUCUUUUGGCAUCCUGUCUGAUUUUACACAGCUCAAAUCUAGCGUUUUUAGAUAUUUGAAUCUUGUGUAAAUACACUUCAACUCUUCUAAUUUGAAAAAACUCCCAGGUUCAUUUGUUAUUGCCAAUGAUCGCAACUUCAAAUAAUUAGAACUCGAUGCAUGUAAUUUUAAGUACUUACCAAUUCCAUUGUAUAUGGCAUGACGUGGUUGUUCAUUCAACAAGUGUAUGGGGCUUGAAUGAUCUUUACUUGAGUCAAAAAUUAGCAACAACUUCUCCUCUGAGGCCUUUUGUAUGGCAAGAUCACGCACAAGAUCAUGGAUACGGCAGUCCCAAACAUGUCCAUCCCAACGAAAUGUUGCUAUCUGAAUCAUAUUGCGAUUAAUUAACUCAUUUAAAUAGUCCUCAGACACAUCCUCCAUAACUAAUCCAUCUCCUUCAUCAGCUUCUGAUAUAAAUUCCUCUGCAAUCCAUAACAACUUUAAAUUGUUAACUUCAAAAGUAUGGUCUUCUGGAAACCUUGCAAGGUAUAGAAAACAUCGUCUCAGCUGGAAAGACAAGUCAUAAUAACUCAAGCUUAGUAUUUCUUGAAUCUCCACAGAAUCAGCCUUCAAUUUUCUCCAAAGAUGGUCCUUCACCAAUGACCAAUCCUCAUAGCUCUUCUUGUGCAGUAAUAGCCCACUUAGUAUCAUGAUUGCAAGUGGUAACCCUCCACAUUUACAUACCAUCUGCUUUCCUAACUUCUCAAGGUUCGGGGUUGGUUUUGCUCUCUUUAGGAAUAAUUGCCAGCUCUCAUCUUCCCUUAGAAAGCGGAGUGGAUGGACAAAACAUCUGUCAUCUACUUUCUGAGCAAUUAUUUUAUUUCGCGUGGUUAUGAUGACUCUACUACCGUU
rnacentral:lncRNA from 1 species